GACAGAGGGUGCGAACGUUGUUCGGAAUUACUGGGCGUAAAGCGCAUGUAGGCUGUCGCGCAAGUCGGGUGUGAAAGCCCAGGGCUCAACCCUGGAAGUGCACUCGAAACUGCAGGACUAGAAUCUCGGAGAGGGUAGCGGAAUUCUGGGUGUAGAGGUGAAAUUCGUAGAUAUCCAGAGGAACACCGGUGGCGAAGGCGGCUACCUGGACGAGUAUUGACGCUGAGAUGCGAAAGCGUGGGGAGCAAACAGG
rnacentral:rRNA from 1 species